rnacentral:rRNA from 1 species
UACGGAGGAUCCGAGCGUUAUCCGGAUUUAUUGGGUUUAAAGGGUGCGUAGGUGGAUUGAUAAGUCAGUGGUGAAAGUUUGCAGCUUAACUGUAAAAUUGCCGUUGAAACUGUCGGUCUUGAGUGCAAAUGAGGUAGGCGGAAUGUGUUGUGUAGCGGUGAAAUGCUUAGAUAUAACACAGAACUCCGAUUGCGAAGGCAGCUUACUGGGAUGCAACUGACACUGAUGCACGAAAGCGUGGGUAUCAAACAGG